rnacentral:misc_RNA from 1 species
AAGUCGUAACAAGGUUUCCGUAGGUGAACCUGCGGAAGGAUCAUUACUGAGAGAGGGCGUCCCGCCCCCGGGGGGUUUCGGCCUCCCAACUCUUCAACCCUGUGUGAACGUACCUUUGUUGCUUUGGCGGGCUGCGGCGCUGACUCCCACCGGGGUCGCCCGCGCCAGUGGCGCUAACCCGCAUAUGCUGGACCAUAAGCUCCCGUCAGAGGCCCAUCCAAACCCUUUGAAUUAGUGUCGUCCGAGUACAAAACAAUAGUAAAA